ACUGUGAUUAAAUCUGGGACU
rnacentral:miRNA from 1 species